rnacentral:rRNA from 1 species
CGGUAAUUCCAGCUCCAAUAGCGUAUACUAAAGUUGUUGCAGUUAAAAAGCUCGUAGUUGGAUUUCUGCGGGGACAGAACGGCCGAUCGCAACUUGCGACUCGAGCUAGCGCUUUCCCCGCAUCCUGCCGCGAACCGUGCUACCAUUAGCUUGGUGGCGCUGGGGAUCGGCUCGAUUACUUUGAGAAAAAUAGAGUGUUCAAAGCAGGCCACACGCCUUGAAUAAGUUAGCAUGGAAUAAUGACUAAGGACUUCGAUUCUAUUUUGUUGAUGUUCGGGACUGAAGUAAUGAUUGAUAGGGACAGUUGGGGCGGUCUGUAUUCCAAAGCGAGAGGUGAAAUUCUUAGACCUUCGGAAGACAAACAGCUGCGAAAGCGUUCCGCAAGGAUGUUCCCUUUGAUCAAGAACGAAAGUUGGGGGAUCGAAGACGAUCAGAUACCGUCGUAGUCUCAACUAUAAACUAUACCAGCUAGGGAUCGGUCAACGUUUAAUCAUUCGACUUGAUCGGCACCUUAUGAGAAAUCAAAGCAUCUGGGUUCCGGGAAGAGUAUGGUCGCAAGGCUGAAACUUAAAGGAAUUGACGGAAGGGCACCACCAGCCGUGGAGCCUGUGGCUUAAUUUGACUCAACACGGGAAAACUUACCAGGUCCAGACAUAGUAAGGAUUGACAGAUUGAUAGCUCUUUCUUGAUUCUGUGGGUGGUGGUGCAUGGCCGUUCUUAGUUGGUGGAGUGAUUUGUCUGGUUAAUUCCGUUAACGAACGAGACCCCAGCCUGCUAAAUAGCGCGGCUGAGCUUUGCUCGGUGCGAGCUUCUUAGAGGGACUAUGAUGCGCGAUAGCACAUGGAAGUUUGGGGCAAUAACAGGUCUGUGAUGCCCUUAGAUGUUCUGGGCCGCACACGGGCUACACUGGCGCCUGCAACGAGCAUAUCAGCUGGCCCGAGAGGGUCUUGGCUAAUCUUUUGAACCGGCGCCGUGCUUGGGAUUGACCAUUGCAAUUGUUGGUCAUGCAACGAGGAAUGCCUUGUAAACGCGAGUCAUCAGCUCGCAUUGAAUACGUCCCUGCCCUUUGUACACACCGCCCGUCGCUCCUACCGAUGAAUGUUCCGAUGAAAUUUUCGGAGAGCGCCAGAGAACGGGGCUCUGCCUUGCAGAUCUGGAGGCUCAAAGUCACUUAAAUCUGAACAUUUCGAGGAAGGAGAAGUCGUAACAAGGUAACC